rnacentral:rRNA from 1 species
GGUAGCAUAGUAAUUAGCUUUUUAAUUGAAAGCUUGUAUGAAUGGUUGAACAAGAGAAACACUGUCUCUUUAUUAAAGUUUGAAUUUAACUUUUAAGUGAAAAGGCUUAAAUUUGUCAAGUGGACGAUAAGACCCUAUAAAGCUUUAUAAAACACAAAAAAUUUUAGAAACUUGUUUAUAAAAGAAAAUUUUUUAGAAAUUAUUAUGUUGGGGCGACACAGAUAAAAAUAUGAGUAACUGUCAGUAGAAAGAACAAUUAUUUUUGAUUAACAAUGAUCCUUUGUAAAGAUUAAAAGAUUAAGUUACUUUAGGGAUAACAGCGUUAUUCUUUUUGAGAGUCCUUAUCAAAAAAAGAGUUUGCGACCUCGAUGUUGAAUCAUAAAAUCUUUACAGUGCAGCAGCUGUAAAAGA